rnacentral:sRNA from 1 species
AGGACAGCCGUUGCCCUAGUGGUUUCGGACACACCGCCAACGCGCUGUGCGGUGCUGCCGUCCCGAGGUCAAGUCCCGGGGGAGGAGAAGAGCGGCUUCCCGCCUAGAGCAUUUGCAAGUCAGGAUUCUCUAAUCCCUCUGGGAGAAGGGUAUUCGGCUUGUCCGCUUUUUUUUGUGCCUAGUUUUGCACCCACAACAUGUAAGGGCCCGCUACCCCUACAACACAAAACAAUCUCCUCUAACCAACCUUUUCCCAAUCAAUUCUGUGACAGAGUUUCCUGGACACCCAGUCUUAGUUCAGAUAGACACCCAGUUAUGCAGUGCCACCAAUUCCAAUCAUUUUUAAACCUCCUGGAAUUCUAUCAUCAAACGGCAUGCAGGAAAAGGACAAGCAGCGAAAAUUCACGCCCCCUUGGGAGGUGGCGGCAUAUGCAAAGGAUAGCACUCCCACUCUACUACUGGGUAUCAUAUGCUGACUGUAUAUGCAUGAGGAUAGCAUAUGCUACCAAGAUAUAGAUUAGGAUAGYAUAUGCUACCCAGAUAUAGAUUAGGAUAGCAUAUGCUACCYAGAUAUAGAUUWGGRUAGCAUAUGCUACCCAGAUAUAGAUUWGGAUAGCAUAUGCUACCCAGAUAUAGAUUWGGRUAGCAUAUGCUACCCAGAUAUAGAUUWGGRUAGCAUAUGCUACCCAGAUAUAGAUUWGGRUAGCAUAUGCUACCCAGAUAUAGAUUWGGRUAGCAUAUGCUAYCCAGAUAUCUGGGUAGCAUAUGCUACCCAAAUCUAUAUUAGGRUAGCAUAUGCUAYCCWAAUCUAUAUURGGAUAGCAUAUGCUACCCAGAUAUAGAUUUGGAUAGCAUAUGCUACCCAGAUAUAGAUUAGGGUAGCAUAUGCUACCCAGAUAUAGAUUWGGRUAGCAUAUGCUACCCAGAUAUAGAUUUGGGUAGCAUAUGCUACCCAGAUAUAGAUUWGGRUAGCAUAUGCUACCCAGAUAUAGAUUWGGGUAGCAUAUGCUACCCARAUMUAKAUUWGGRUAGCAUAUGCUACCCAGAUAUCUGGGUAGCAUAUGCUAUCCAUCGCAACAUUAGCCCACCGUGCUCUCAGCGACCUCGUGAAUAUGAGGACCAACAACCCUGUGCUUGGCGCUCAGGCGCAAGUGUGUGUAACUUGUCCUCCAGAUCGCAGCAAUCGCGCCCCUAUCUUGGCCCGCCCACCUACUUAUGCAGGUAUUCCCCGGGGUGCCAUUAGUGGUUUUGUGGGCAAGUGGUUUGACCGCAGUGGUUAGCGAGGUUACAAUCAGCCAAGUUAUUACACCCUUAGUUUACAGUCCAAAACCGCAGGGCGGCGUGUGGGGGCUGACGCGUGCCCCCACUCCACAAUUUCAAAAAAAAGAGUGGCCACUUGUCUUUGUUUAUGGGCCCCAUUGGCGGGGAGCCCCGUUUAAUUUUCGGGGGUGUUAGAGACAACCAGUGGAGUCCGCUGCUGUCGGCGUCCACUCUCUUUCCCCUUGUUACAAAUAGAGUGUAACAACAUGGUUCACCUGUCUUGGUCCCUGCCUGGGACACAUCUUAAUAACCCCAGUAUCAUAUUGCACUAGGAUUAUGUGUUGCCCUUAGCAAUAAAUUCGUGUGAGAUGGACAUCCAGUCUUUACGGCUUGUCCCCACCCCAUGGAUUUCUAUUGUUAAAGAUAUUCAGAAUGUUUCAUUCCUACACUAGUAUUUAUUGCCCAAGGGGUUUGUGAGGGUUAUAUUGGUGUCAUAGCACAAUGCCACCACUGAACCCCCCGUUCAAAUUUUAUUCUGGGGGCGUCACCUGAAACCUUGUUUUCGAGCACCUCACAUACACCUUACUGUUCACAACUCAGCAGUUAUUCUAUUAGCUAAACGAAGGAGAAUGAAGAAGCAGGCGAAGAUUCAUGAGAGUUCACUGCCCGCUCCUUGAUCUUCAGCCACUGCCCUUGUGACUAAAAUGGUUCACUACCCUCGUGGAAUCCUGACCCCAUGUAAAUAAAACCGUGACAGCUCAUGGGGUGGGAGAUAUCGCUGUUCCUUAGGACCAUUUUACUAACCCUAAUUCGAUAGCAUAUGCUUCCCGUUGGGUAACAUGUGCUAUUGAAUUAGGGUUAGUCUGGAUAGUAUAUGCUACUACCCGGGAAGCAUAUGCUACCCGUUUAGGGUUAAAAAGGGGGCCUUAUAAACACUCUUGCUAACGCCCUCUUGAGGGUCCGCUUAUCGGUAGCUACACAGGCCCCUCUGAUUGACGUUGGUGUAGCCUCCCAUAGUCUUCCUGGGCCCCUGGGAGGUACAUGUCCCCCAGCAUUGGUGUAAGAGCUUCAGCCAAGAGUUACACAUAAAGGCAAUGUUGUGUUGCAGUCCACAGACUGCAAAGUCUGCUCCAGGAUGAAAGCCACUCAGUGUUGGCAAAUGUGCACAUCCAUUUAUAAGGAUGUCAACUACAGUCAGAGAACCCCUUUGUGUUUGGUCCCCCCCCGUGUCACAUGUGGAACAGGGCCCAGUUGGCAAGUUGUACCAACCAACUGAAGGGAUUACAUGCACUGCCCCGCGGGAAAUACGUCCUACCCAGGAACCCGAAACAGUGUUUCCCAGAAGCUGUAAAAAUAGAACGCCCUGGAACUGCCCCACUGUGCAAUGCAGCUUUUAGCCAUGCCAUGCUCUAUAAAUCACUCCCCUAUCUCAGGUAGGCCUGCACACCUUAGGUAUGGAGCGAAGGUUAGUGGUCACUCUGCAGUGCCUGGUGCUGCUUUACCUGGCACCUGAGUGUGGAGGUACAGACCAAUGUGACAAUUUUCCCCAAAUGUUGAGGGACCUAAGAGAUGCCUUCAGUCGUGUUAAAACCUUUUUCCAGACAAAGGACGAGGUAGAUAACCUUUUGCUCAAGGAGUCUCUGCUAGAGGACUUUAAGGGCUACCUUGGAUGCCAGGCCCUGUCAGAAAUGAUCCAAUUCUACCUGGAGGAAGUCAUGCCACAGGCUGAAAACCAGGACCCUGAAGCCAAAGACCAUGUAAAUUCUUUGGGUGAAAAUCUAAAGACCCUACGGCUCCGCCUGCGCAGGUGCCACAGGUUCCUGCCGUGUGAGAACAAGAGUAAAGCUGUGGAACAGAUAAAAAUGCCUUUAACAAGCUGCAGGAAAAAGGAAUUUACAAAGCCAUGAGUGAAUUUGACAUUUUUAUUAACUACAUAGAAGCAUACAUGACAAUUAAAGCCAGGUGAUAAUUCCAUACCCUGGAAGCAGGAGAUGGGUGCAUUUCACCCCAACCCCCCCUUUCGACUGUCAUUUACAAUAAAAUGAAACCUUUUAUUCUUGAUUGCUUCUUGUGUUCUUGCCGCCCAGGUACCUUCCUGUGUUCUCCCCACGGGAAAAAGAAUAGCUUCUGCAGAAGGCCAUUGACGCAAGUUUUGCCCGUGGGGAUUACCCGACCCAGCCACUUACAGCACAUUUUGUUCUAGGUCCAUCUUAGGAGCCCGGGCCAGCAUUCUAUCAGCUUAACGGGAAGAGAAGUGGGGAGGGCACUCGCCCACUAACCUUAACACCUGCAGCCUACAAAAGUACACUAGCUGUUUGCUCUAUUCGCCACUAGAGACCGCCAAAAUGCGAAACUACAGGCCCGGGCCCAGGCCUUGCAGGGCAGACGGUUAGGCUGACAAGUGGACAAGUGUGGCAGGUGGGCGGGAAGGGGCACAAGAAUGCCGGCGAAACUGGACCACGGUCCACCCCGCCCUCAAGCGUCCGGGAGCCGGGCGGCUCGGCCAAGGAGGGCGGCCUUGCGAACAAUCAUUAGUAGCUACCAACAAGGGCCCCCAGAUGCCCCCCACCAGUCACCCGUCCGUGUCCACUCACAUAUUCCACUCUUAUUUUU